rnacentral:rRNA from 1 species
AACGAACGCUGGCGGCAUGCCUAACACAUGCAAGUCGAACGAGACCUUCGGGUCUAGUGGCGCACGGGUGCGUAACGCGUGGGAACCUGCCCUUAGGUUCGGAAUAACUCCCCGAAAGGGGUGCUAAUACCGGAUAAUGUCUUCGGACCAAAGAUUUAUCGCCUUUGGAUGGGCCCGCGUUGGAUUAGCUAGUUGGUAGGGUAAAAGCCUACCAAGGCGACGAUCCAUAGCUGGUCUGAGAGGAUGAUCAGCCACACUGGGACUGAGACACGGCCCAGACUCCUACGGGAGGCAGCAGUGGAGAGUAUUGGAGAAUGGGCGAAAGCCUGAUCCAGCAAUGCCGCGUAAGUGAUGAAGGCCUUAGGGUUGUAAAUCUCUUUUACCCGGGAUGAGAAUGACAGUACCGGGAGAAUAAGCUCCGGCUAACUCCGUG